rfam:Cavia porcellus supercont2_32 genomic scaffold, whole genome shotgun sequence.
GAGGAUUUAGCUCAGUGGCAUAAGCACCUGCCUUGCAAGCAGGCAGUUGUAAAUUCAAUCCCUG